rfam:Virgibacillus soli strain PL205 scaffold000001, whole genome shotgun sequence.
AUUUCAACAUGAACGGCUAAAUUCGCCACGUCCUGUGGCGAUACCGUUCUAGUCUCAACUUGAGCC